CAAAAUUAUACCUCACUUAUUUGUCAAUUGAAAGUUUGUUCAAAUUCCGCAAUGCUACUAUGCUAUAGUGUUGCUAUUUAACAACACUUUGUAUUAGAUAGCGUAUUAGAGAACAAUGGCGAUUUCUUUAUAGCGUUGAACAACACUGUUCUACUUUGUAACAUAUAAUAUGUUUGUAUAGGUGUGUAGAGAUCCAAGAUGGGGUAGAUGUUAUGAAAGUUAUAGCGAAGAUCAUAAAAUAGUCCAAUCUAUGACCGAGUUAAUUCCAGGGCUGCAAGGUGACCUACCUGCAAAUUGGUCAAAGGGUGUUCCAUAUGUUGGUGGAAGGUAAGAAAUGAUCAAAUAAAAUAUUAAAUUUCAUAGAUUUGAUGCACUGUCUUAAUGUUGGUGUUUGAUUUUGUUAUUUUUCUUGCGCAGCAAGAAAGUUGCAGCUUGUGCUAAGCACUUUGUUGGUGAUGGUGGAACAACAAAAGGAAUCAAUGAGAAUAACACAGUCGCAACCAGACAUGAAUUGCUUAGCAUUCACAUGCCAGCUUACUAUAACUCAAUUAUUAAAGGCGUGUCAACCAUCAUGGUGUCUUACUCAAGCUGGAACGGAGAAAAAAUGCACGCUAAUCGCGAUUUAAUCACCGGUUUUCUCAAGAACACACUUCGUUUCAGGGUAAAACUUUACCCCGCAAGCCUUUGAUUUCAUAAUUACAAAUGAUUAUAUAUUAAGAAUUUAAUUUGUGUUAACUGACUUUGUAGAAAAGGUGACAAUAUAUUAGUCGAUAAUUGUGUAAAAUAAUCUUACACUAAAUGCAUAGAAAUUAAAAUUGUGAAUUAACAUAGGCCUAAAAUUGUUUGUUUAUCAAUCAUCAUAUUAGUAUACGCCUAAAAUUAUAUGUUUUCAUGCAGGGUUUUGUCAUAUCAGAUUGGGAGGGAAUUGACAGGAUAACUUCCCCGCCUCAUGCUAAUUACACCUAUUCAAUUGAAGCUGGAGUGAAUGCCGGUAUUGACAUGGUAAACUAUGAUUCUUGCAAGUCUUCCGAUAAGCUUUUUUUUAUGAUUAGGAAUCCAAUUCAGUACCCUAAAUUUACAACAUUCACACACCCUGCGCACCAACUACUUGCACUAGACUCCAGCGGUGUUGAUUAGAUUUAAUCGAUUUUGCAUAGAAUGUAUGAUAUUUAAUACAUGUUCUUGUGAUGCUGCAGAUAAUGAUUCCCUUUAACUACACAGAAUUCAUAGAUGGCUUGACUUUACUAGUGAAAAGCAAUGCCAUACCUAUGAGUAGAAUUGAUGAUGCAGUGAAGAGAAUUUUGAGAGUCAAGUUUGUUAUGGGACUAUUUGAAAAUCCAUUGGCAGAUUACAGCCUUACCGAUCAACUCGGGAGCCAGGUUAGUCGAUGAGCUUCGAUUUAAAUAUGAUUUUAGUCCGAAAAACUUAUACCAUAAAUCCAUAAUGAGAAACUAAAUUGGCGACAUAAUUUGACAGGAGCAUAGGGAAUUGGCUAGGGAAGCUGUGAGGAAAUCAUUGGUACUAUUAAAGAAUGGUGAAAAUGCUGAUAAGCCGCUUCUUCCUCUUCCUAAAAAGGCUCCAAAAAUACUCGUUGCUGGAAGUCAUGCUGAUAAUCUAGGAUAUCAAUGUGGUGGAUGGACCAUUCAGUGGCAAGGACUUAGUGGCAACAACAUCACUAGUGGUAUACUAUAACAUCCUUCACUUUUCUCCCACUAUUGUUUGAUACUAUCUUGCACCAAAAAUACAAGCAACAAUUGCACUCAUAUCCAUUUUAGAUUGAAGGCGUGUCUGAUGUCAAAUAUGUCACUGUCUGACACUGACCGACACAUAUUGUUACAUUCAAUCAUUUUAAUUUUCUAUAGUCAGUGUCGUGUCCAGUGUCCUUGUUUGUGCUUCAGCGAAUGCAAUAUAUUCCUAACAUAUAUUUUUAACAUCGUUGAACUGAUACAGGUACCACAAUUCUGAGUGCUAUAAAAAACACAGUUGACAAAGAAACCAAGGUAGUCUAUGAGGAGAAUCCUUCACUAGACUACGUAAAAUCCAAUGAUUUUUCGUAUGCAGUCGUGGUAGUUGGAGAGACACCAUACGCUGAAACAAAUGGCGACAGCUUGAACUUAACAAUUUCCGGUAACGGAACAGAAACAAUAAACAAUGUAUGCGGCAGAGUGAAAUGUGUCGUUGUGUUAGUCACUGGUAGACCUGUUGCCAUACAACCAUAUCUUAACAAAAUUGACGGACUCGUUGCUGCUUGGCUUCCUGGUAGUGAAGGUACUGGUGUUGCUGAUGUUUUGUUUGGUGAUUAUGGAUUUACUGGUAAGCUUGCUAGGACAUGGUUUAAGACUGUUGAUCAGUUGCCAAUGAAUGUUGGUGAUUCUCAUUAUGAUCCUUUGUUUCCAUUUGGAUUCGGUUUAAGCUCAUAAGGUUAUGGUGUUAAAUAAUGUAGCAUUUUUGGUGUGCUCUUAGGCUAUUUAUUACUAUUGUAUUUUUUUUACAUUAGAUGUUGGUACCACAUUGGUAUUGUGAUAUACUAUGUUUGAAAUAUUUUUCAGCUUCAAUUGUUAAACUUAUUGAGUUCCAAUCAAGUUUAUAUGUUUGUUCUUUAGACAAAUGUUAGUGGUUAAUGUAACAAAAAAAAUGUUAGUGGUUAAAUUGUUAGGGUGAAGAGAAAGAAAAUUACUCUUCUCACUUAUGGAAUGGCUCAUUCCCUUAUACCAACGGCAGUUAACUGUCGUUCGAUAUAUUUCAGCGGCCAGUAACUGUCGCUGGCAUUUUUAAGAUCCGUUGGACGGACUUAAAAAGUGAUUGAACAUAUCUUAAAAGUGUCUGCAACAGUGAAGAUUGAACUCUAACCUUCUUAUUUUGUGUUAACCUUCUUUGAAAGUCUAUAUUUGUUUUUAAAAAUAUAAUUCCAAAAGAUAUUACAGUUUUUGUUUUAAGAAUUAAAUCUUAGGAGACAAGUAUGAGUUGUGAUGCUUAGAUUGUGAUCUUAAUGGAUUUGGCAAGACCUAUAAGACAACGAACCGUUGGAGGAGAGAUGGUGAUAUGAGACAGUAAAAUAGAUUCUAGUGACAAUAGAUAAAAUUUAAGUCUCAAGUGUAGGGAUUCUAAUUCUCGUGCCACAAUCUCGUGUGUGUUCGUGCCAUGGCCACAUGGACCCAUAGUGUGAGAAGCCAUGUGGAACAUAUGUGUGGUUGGGCAUAUGAUUUGGUCUUAGGAGGGACAAAUGCUGAUAAAAUUCAACAUAUUAAGACCAUGCUAUAUAAGAAAUUCAACAUCAAAGACCUAGGAGAGUUCUCAAAUAUUUUUUAGGCUUUAAAGUUGCAAGAUCACAUACUGUUAUUACUUUGUGUCAAAGAAAAUAUACUCUUGAUUUACUUCAAGACACUAGGCUUCUAAGCACUAAACCUUGUUCUACUCUUAUGCAACCAUAACUUCAAUUACAAAAAGCUUCUAGAGAACUUCUAUCUGAACCAACUGCAUACAGAAGACUCAUUGGUAUACUUCUAUACUUAACUUACUCCCGACCAGAGAUUUCUUAGGUCGUAAGCAAACUUAUUCAAUUUUUAGAAGCUCCGACAAAUGAGCAUAUGUUAGAUGGUAUAUAUGUUUUCAAAUUUCUCAAGAAUAAUCCUGGUCAAGGGUUAUUUUUCAGUUCAUUCUCGCCAUUAACACUUAAAUGAUUCUUUGAUUCAAAUUGGGGGCAUGUCCAAAUAACAGAAGAUCAACAACUGGAUUUUGCUUUUUCCUUGGCACAUCUAUCACAAGUUGAGUAUAGAGCUUUGUUACAAGCUACAUGUGAAGGACAGUGGUUGAUUUACUUACUGCAGGAUUUACUUAUAGCACAUACCACACCUAUCAUUCUAUAUUGUGAUAACAAAUUUUCACUAUAUAUUAUAUAGAAGCAAAUCAUGUGAACCAUGAAAGAACUAAACACAUUGAAAUUGACUGUCAUGUAAUAAGGGACAAAGUGCAGGUAGGAGUAAUUCACUUGCUACCAAUAUCCUCAAAAGACCAAGUUGCUGAUAUUUUGACAAAGUCUUUUGCAUCUAGAUCCAUUCAAUAUCUUGCAGGACAAGCUUGGAACAAUUAACAUUUAUUCCGUCUUGAGGAGGGAUGUUAAAUUCGGACGAGAAAUAUGUAAAGUGGUCAAGAUUUGUUCCACAAAUCAAACUCUGAUUCUCCCAAACGAUUCAUGUACUUUUGUGGAGUUCAUUCACCAUUGUCAUUGUGCCUAGUCACUUGGACAAAUUCCAAUAUUAUCUAUUUGAUUUGAAACUUAUCUCUUAAAAGAAACGUAAUCAUCACUACAAUUGAAUAUAUAUAUUUUAAAACUAUCCAUACUAGAUUUGAUCAUUAAAUUUGACCAAUUAUAAACAAAACCAAAAUUAAAAGUAACGUUGUUAUUGUUAAUUGUUUAAUUAAGAUAAGGAUGGAACAUAAACGUCGCGUCUUCAAACCAUAACAGCCUGCAUGAUUGACUAUUUUUUUUUUGUCUAUUUAUAUGUAACAAUCUUACAACUACUUUACAAAUAUUCACAUUCUUCAACUUCCAAACUUUGCCUUUUUAUUAUUCUUUGAAAAGUACACAUUUUGUCUCUCCUUUCUUGUGUAACAUUGAAGUGCCACAUAAAAGUUUGUUAGCCAUAAAACUUGUAAAUUGGUAUGCAAUUUUUUUUGUUAUAUUUUAUACUUGUAAAUUUUCAAUUUAAUAUACUGACAAAAAAAAAAUUCAAUUCAAUAUUUAUUUCUGUUGUUGAUUGUUGAAAUGAAUCAGCAGUAGUCAGCUUCAUGGUACUACAAACCGUUAGAUUAAUAAAAUUUGCAUCUAACGGCCUGCAUCCGUCCGACUUUAUAGGAAAGACGGAUAUACAAUAAAGCCGACCGUUGAGGAUCAAAUUUUUUGUUUAUUGGUUGCAAAUAAACUUCAUGACUAAAAUUGAAAUGGGUCUAACUAUUUUAUGAAUGGUUUUGUAUUCAUUAAUGGUAUGAUAAGGAUGCUUGAUUUGUUAUUGAACAUGCAUGUUUAUCUCUAGAACAUUGUUGUGAUCUUAUUUUGAAGUUGUUUUGAGAGGUAGAAAUGGCCAAAAGUACAAUGUUUUUGGUGGGGCUUGUGCUCUUGCACUACUUGGUAGCUAUGGCAGAAGCUAAGCAUUUGAGAUACAAAGAUUCAAAGCAGCCAUUGAAUACUCGAAUCAAGGAUCUUCUCGACAGGAUGACUUUGGAAGAGAAAAUUGGUCAGAUGGUUCAGAUUGAACGCAAUGUUGCUUCUGCUGAAGUAAUGAACAACUACUUCAUUGGUAAGAUUUGUUUCCUAAAUUUUUUUCCUCUUAAACUAGAUUUUCAAAAAUAAUUGUUAGUGCAUAUUUUAGCUGUGAAAUGCACAUAAGGAAAUUCACCUAAGUUUUUGCUUUUUAUCUCCAUGCAUGCAAUGUAAUUUAAAUUGAGGAUGCAUAUGGAUUCGUUGCAGUUUCAUUUUGUAAUCCAUAUCGGCCAUUGAUUUGAGAUCAGACAGUUUAAAUUACACAUUUAGUAUAUCAGUAUUAAACGAUUCUGACCAUCGAUUUAGGUCAGAUGGCUAAGUAACUGCAUGAUUUAAGAUGCCAAAUAGUUUGUAUUAGGAUUUUUUUUUAAUUUUUAACUUUAAUUUUCUAUAGGGAGUGUUCUAAGUGGUGGAGGAAGUGUUCCUAAACCAAAGGCUACUGCAAAGGAUUGGGUUGAUAUGAUCAAUGAAUUUCAAAAGGGUGCUUUAUCAACUAGGCUUGGAAUUCCAAUGAUAUAUGGAAUUGAUGCUGUUCAUGGAAAUAAUAAUGUCUAUAACGCAACUAUUUUUCCUCACAAUGUUGGUUUAGGAGCUACAAGGUAUACUUAUAUUUUUUUUGUGUGAAAACUUUGGUUUUCAAUUCUUUGAUUAUUGAUGAUUUCUUGUAUUCAAAUUCAAAGGUCUUCUCUUGUGUGUUAAAUAUUAUAAAAAAUAUAGUAUGAUUUUAUCAACUAGUUAUGGAAAAGAAAGAAAAAAAAAUACAUGCAACCAAUACUUUGUCAAAAACGUGCUUUCAUGUUGGCUAUGGAAGGUACGCAAUCCAAAUAAAAAAUUACAUGUGGUUGAGAGACCUAUAAUAUAAUGCAAGAUCUUACCCUUAUGAUUUUUAGUGAUGUUAUCAAAUAUAUAUAUAUAUAUAUAUAUAUAUAUAUAUAUAUAUAUAUAUAUAUAUAUAUUUUGGUACAAACAAAUAUAUUUAAUUUACUAAAGUAUUCAUAUUUUAAUUGUUUUAGGUAAAUGGACAGGACAUUUUGGGUUUGGAUUAAUGUUGUAAAAUUUACUUUGAUUGUCUUUUACUCUAUGUUCUUUUUCCUAUGAUAUUAGACUUUAUUGUAAACGAGCAAGCAGUCUUUUAGGUAUGAAUGUGUGAGGCGUUGUCAUUAUAGUUAAAUGUAUAAUAAUAAUAAUAUCCUUAAGUGUGUCUUUUGUUAAUAAUUUUGAAGAUCACAUCGACUAACAAAGGACACAUUCGAGAAUCAAAUUAACUAACAAAAUAUAAAUUUGAGGAUCAAACUGACUAAUGACAUGUUGAUCGAAUGAAAGUUAAUUACACAAAGAAAAAGCUUUUUUCACUAUAACUCUUUGUAUUGAUGAUAGAUUUUCUAUAUCCUAACUUGCAGGGACCCUCAACUAGUGAAGAAGAUUGGUGAAGCAACUGCUCUUGAAUCCAGAGCAACUGGAAUUCCAUAUGUCUUUGCGCCUUGCAUUGCGGUAAUUAAGAUAAUCGAAAUACCUAACCUAUUUGUCAAUCACAGAAAAUAACAAUUUGUUCAAAUUUCGCUACGCUACAAUAUACUAUGUGACAACACUUUGUAUUAAAUAGUGUGUGGCACAACAAUAGCAAUUUGUUCAAAUUUCGCUACUAUGGACCACAAUGUUGCGCCGCUUUUGCCAAUAUUUGACAAUAUCAUUCAACCUUAUGACAUAUGUGUUUGAAUUUAAAGGUGUGUAGAGAUCCAAGAUGGGGUAGAUGUUAUGAAAGUUAUAGUGAAGAUCAUAAAGUAGUUCAAGCUAUGACUGAGAUCAUUCCAGGACUUCAAGGUGACCUCCCUGCAAAUUGGUCAAAUGGUGUUCCAUAUGUUGCUGGAAAGUAAGAAUUCACGAUGCUGUUGCAGUUUUAUAUAUGCAUGUCUUCUGUCUAAUUACAUAUGAGAAUCGACUGUGACCGGAAAAUUGAAUUGAACCAAUUUAGUUCUUUUUUGUGUGAUUUGGUUUGCGUUUUGGUUUUUUCAAACAGUCAUAAUAAUUGGUAUUUAAUCAACAGUAUUAAUUAUCCGUUAAUAAUAACAAUUUGAUACAGUUUGGUUCGAAAAAGUAUAGUUUGAUUUGUUGUAAAGGUAGUUCUGGUUCGGUUUGAAACCACGUUGUAGGUGGCCCAAACCUUUUUACCAAAUCGAUUCAGGACACCCCUAAUCUGAGGAGUGUCCGUGCUUCGUAGUUUUAUUCAUAUCUUGAACUUAAAAUGAUGUUUUGGCUUUCCUAUGACAUGAAUAAUGAUAAAAUUCGUCUAAGUGUUGGUGUUUGAUUUUGUUCUCAUUUUCUUGUACAGCAAGAAAGUUGCAGCUUGUGCUAAGCACUUUGUCGGUGAUGGUGGAACAACAAAAGGAAUCAAUGAGGAUAACACAGUUGCAAACAGACAUGAAUUGUUUAGCAUUCACAUGCCAGCUUACUAUAACUCAAUCAUUAAGGGUGUCUUAACCGUCAUGGUCUCAUACUCAAGCUGGAAUGGAGAAAAGAUGCAUGCUAAUCGCGAUUUAAUCACCGGCUUUCUUAAGAACACGCUCCGUUUCAAGGUAAUAUUUUACCUCAUAACAUAAGCCUUUGAUUGCAUCAAGAGUUUAAUUUGUAUGCACUAUAUGUAUAAAAAACGUGACAAUAAAUUAUAGGAUGACGGUGUAAAAUAGGUGGCAAUAUAUUAUUGCAUAAAUAAUUGUAUAUUAACUUAACCCUAAAAUUGUUUGUUUAUCAAUCAUCAUAUUAGUAUAUGCUUAAAAUUGGAUGUUUUAAUGCAGGGUUUUGUCAUAUCAGAUUGGGAGGGAAUCGACAGGAUAACUUCACCUCCUCAUGCUAACUACACAUUUUCAAUUGAAGCCGGAGUGAAUGCCGGUAUUGACAUGGUAAACUAUGUUUUUUACUAGUCUUUUGAAUAGCUGUAUAUUUUUUAUUAUUAUUAGGAAUUGAACUCGGAAUUUUAAGGUUUACAAUACUUGCACAUUCUGUGAACCAACCACUUGCACCGAAUCCCGGUGGUGUUGAUUAGUCUUAUUCAUAAAAAAUAUAAUCUUUAAUAUUUACCCUUGUAAUGAUGCAGAUAAUGAUUCCCCAUAACUACACUGAAUUCAUUGAUGGCCUAACCUUACUAGUGAAAAAGAAUGUCAUACCUAUGAGUAGAAUUGAUGAUGCAGUGAAGAGAAUUUUGAGAGUCAAGUUUGUUAUGGGCCUAUUUGAAAAUCCAUUGGCUGAUUACAGCCUUGCCGAUCAGCUCGGGAGCCAGGUUAGUCGAUCAGCUCAGAGCUUACACUGUCAAUCAAUAGUAAUCGUAAGAUCGUUUAAAAUGUUUGGUGUUGACAGGAGCAUAGGGAAUUGGCUAGGGAAGCGGUGAGGAAAUCAUUGGUACUAUUAAAGAAUGGUGAAAAUGUUGAUAAGCCGAUACUUCCUCUUCCUAAAAAGGCUUCCAAAAUACUUGUUGCUGGAAGUCAUGCUGAUAAUCUAGGAUAUCAAUGUGGUGGAUGGACCAUUCAAUGGCAAGGACAAAGUGGCAACAACAUCACCACUGGUAUACAAAACAGCUAUUUUCCGCGAUUUACAAUUGACAGUACUGAUAUUCAUAACAUACAAUGUUAACAUUGCUUAACUAAUAUACAGGUACUCCAAUUCUGAGUGCUAUAAAAAACGCAGUCGACAAAGAAACCAAGGUAUUCUACGAGGAGAAUCCUUCAUUAGACUAUGUAAAAUCCAAUGAUUUUUCAUAUGCAAUUGUGAUAGUUGGAGAGACACCAUAUGCUGAAACAAAUGGUGACAGCUUAAACUUAACAAUCUCUGGACAUGGAUAUGAAACGAUAGACAAUGUAUGCAGCGGAGUGAAAUGUGUCGUUGUGUUAAUCACCGGUAGACCUAUUGUUAUACAACCAUAUCUUGAGAAAAUUGAAGGACUUGUGGAUGAUUGGCUUCCUGGUAGUGAAGGUUCUGGUGUUGCCGAUGUUUUGUUUGGUGAUUAUGGAUUUACCGGUAAACUUCCAAGGACAUGGUUUAAGACUGUUGAUCAGUUACCAAUGAAUGUUGGUGAUUCUCAUUAUGAUCCUUUGUUUCCAUUUGGAUUUGGUCUUACAACUGAAGCUCAUAAGGCUACUUCAGAAUAUUAGAUUUUGUUAAAUCAUUUAGCAUUUUUUGUGUUCUUAGGCUAUUUAUUACUAUUGUAUUUUUUUCUACAUUAGAUGUUAGUACCAAAUUGGUAUUUUCAUAUACUAUGUUUGAAAAAAAAAAUCAGCUUUAAUUGUUAAACUUAUUGAGUUCCAAUUAAAUUUAUAUGUUUUUUGUUUAGACAAAUGUAAGUGGUUAGAAAAUUGUUAACGGCGGAGAUCGAACUCUAACCUCCUUAUGAAUACUUUUUCGAUGUUCUCACUUAUAUUACUGAGCUACACCUUCAAGAUCAAAUCUAUCCGAUGUUAACCUUCUUGAACUUACAUUUUAUGAAUUUCGGAAAGAGACUUUGAAAGUCUAUAUUUGUUUUUAAAAAAAAAAUAAUGCCAAAAGAUAAUGUAGUUUUUGUUUUAAGAAAUAAAUCUUAGGAGGCAAGUAUGAGUUAUGAUGCUUAGAUUGUGAUCUUACCGGAUUUAGUAAGACCACAAAAAAUACAACUAACCGUUGGAGGAGAGAUGUUGAUAUGAGACAAAAAAUAGAAUCUCUCAAGUGUAGGGAUUCUAAUUACUUAAACUAUCAUUAGGGCCUGGUAAGGCUACAAUUAGUUGAGUGGUUCACAAAUUUCAAAAUAUUGCUAUAGAGAAUGAAAUCAAAAUGGAUGAAACAUGAAAUUGAGCUCUAAUGUACCAUUUAUCACCGAAUCAAAAUGGAUGAAACAAUUAUGUAAUAAUCACUACUACAAUUGAAAAUAUAUUUUAAAACUAUCCAUACGUGAUUUGAUCAUUAAAUUUGAACAAUCAUAAACAAAACAAAAAUUAAAAGUAACGUUGUUAAUUAUUUAUUUAAUUGAGAUCAGAAUGGAUCAUAAUCACAUGUUCCAUCGUUGACUAUUUUUUUUUGUUUGUCUAUUUAUAUGUCACACUCUUACAACUACUUUACAAAUAUUCACAUUCUUCCACUUUCAUACUUUGCCUUUUUAUUAUUCUAUGAAAAGUACACAUUUUGUCUCUCCUUUUUUCUGUAACAUUGUAGUGCCACAUAAAAAGUUUGUUUGCCAUAAACUCAAACUUGUAAAUUGGUAGGCAAUUUUUUUUUUUUUUGUUACAUUUUAUUCUUGUAAAUUCUAUUUCUGUUGUUGAUUGUUGAUAUGAAUUAGCAGUGGUCGGCUUCAUGGUAUUACGGGCCGUUAGAUUAAUAAACUUUUCAUCUAACGUCCUCCAUCCAUCCAACUUUAUUGGAAAGUCGGAUAUAUGAUCAAGCCGAUUGCUGAGGAUCGAAGUUUUUGUUUAUUGGUUGAUUGCAAAUAAAUUUCAUGACCAAACUAGAAAUGGGUCUAGAACUAUUUUAUGAAUGGUUUUGUUUUCCAUGAUGUUUUUUAAUUACCAAACAUUGGUUUAGUUGCUUAUUUUCAUUAUUUGUUAUUGGACAUGUUUAUGUCUUGUCCCUUCUUCUCUAGAACUUUUUUCAUUUGGAUUUUGGCAUGUGUCUUUUCUAGAACAUUGUUUUGUUUUCUCUAGAACAUGUUUAUGAAUAAUUUGAAGUUGUUUGUGAUCUUAUUCUGUAGUUGUUUUGAGAGGGAGAAAUGGUCAAAGGUGCAAUCUCUUUGGUGGCCGGGCUAGUGCUCUUCCAUUGUUGGGUAGCAAUGGCAGAAGCGGAGCAUUUGAGAUACAAAGAUUCAAAGCAGCCGUUGAAUACUCGAAUCAAGGAUCUUAUUGACAGGAUGACUUUGGAAGAGAAAAUUGGUCAGAUGGUUCAGAUUGAACGCGGUGUUGCUUCUGCCGAAGUAAUGAACAAGUACUUCAUUGGUAAGAUUUAUUUGCUAAAUUUUUUUUAUCUUUUAAACUAGAUUUUCAAAAAAAUUUGUUAUUGUUCAUUUGAGCUGCAAAAUGAACAUAAGGAAAUUCACUAAGUUUUUUCUUUUUAUCUCCAUGCCUGCAAUGAAAUUUUAAUUGAGGUUGCAUAUGGAUUCGUUGUAGUAACAGUAUCACGUAGUUUCAUGUUGUAAUCCAUCUCGACCAUUGAUUUGAGGUCGGACUGUUUAGAUUACACAUUCAUUACAUCAAUAUUAAACGAUUCCGACAACCGAUUUAGGUCAGAUGGCUAAGUCACUGCUUGAUUUAAGAUGCCAAAUAAUUUGAAUUAGGAUUUUCUUAACUUUUUAUCUUUAAAUUUUUUAUAGGGAGUGUUCUAAGUGGUGGAGGAAGUGUUCCUAAACCAAAGGCUACUGCAAAGGAUUGGGUUGACAUGAUCAAUGAAUUUCAAAAGGGUGCUUUAUCAACUAGGCUUGGAAUUCCAAUGAUAUAUGGAAUUGAUGCUGUUCAUGGAAAUAAUAAUGUCUAUAACGCAACUAUUUUUCCUCACAAUGUUGGUUUAGGAGCUACAAGGUAUGCCUAUAUUUUUUGUGUGAAAAUUUAAGUUCUUCAAAUCCUUUUUUUGGAAGAAAAUAGUUUCUCAAUUCUUGGUUAUUAUUGAUUUCUUUUAUUCAAAUUCAAAAGUCUUCUCUUGUCUGUUGAAAUACUAUGAUUUUAUUAUUGUCUACUAGUUAUAAAAAAUGGAAUAUGUGCAACUAUAAAUUUGUCAAAACGUGCUUUCAUGUUGUCUAGGGAAGGUACACAAUCCAAAUAAAAUAUUACAACUGGUUGAGACCUAUAAUAUAAUGCAAGAUCAUACCUAUAAUAAUUUUAGUGAUGUUAUCAAAUAUAUUUAAUUUAUUAAAGUGUUCAUAUUUUAAUGGUGUAAUAUUUCCUUUGGUUGACUUUUACUCUAUAUUCUUUUUCCUAUGAUAUUAGACUUUAUUGUAAACAAGCAAGCUAUAAUUUUUAAUUUUAAUAUGAAUGUGCGAGGUGUUGUCAUUAUAGUUUUUGAAUGUAUUGAAAUUAUAUGGAUCAAAUCGGCUAAAAAAGACACAUUCGAGAAUCAAACUAACUAACGAAAGACAAAUUUGAGGAUCAAAUAGACUAAUGACACACUACACCAUUUGUUGUCUCUAGCAACACUUUUUAAGCAACAUGUAAAAAUUGUUGCUAAAAGUCUCUAAUUACACAAAGAAAAUGCCUUUUUUUUCACUAUGACUCUUUGUAUUGAUGAUGUAUUUUUUAUAUCCCAAAUUGCAGGGACCCUCAACUGGUGAAGAAGAUUGGUGAAGCAACCGCUCUUGAAUCCAGAGCAACUGGAAUUCCAUAUGUCUUUGCACCUAGCAUCGCGGUAAUUUAGAUAAUCAAAAUUAUACCUUAGCUCUUUGUCGAUCGUAGAAAAUAACAAUUUGUUCAAAUUUCGCUACGCUACAAUGCUAUAGCGCUAGUAUUGGACAACAAAUUGUAUUAAAUAGUGUGUUGCACAACAAUAGCGAUUUGUUCAAAUUUUGCUAUACGCAGUAGCGAUGUUGCGCCGCUUUUGCAAAUAUUUGACAAUAUUGUUCAACCUAAUGACAUAUGUGUUUGAAUUUAUAGGUGUGUAGAGAUCCAAGAUGGGGUAGAUGUUAUGAAAGUUAUAGUGAAGAUCAUAAAAUUGUCCAAGCUAUGACUGAGUUAAUUCCAGGAUUACAAGGUGACCUCCCUGCAAAUUGGUCAAAUGGUGUUCCAUAUGUUGUUGGAAAGUAAGAGAUCAUGAUGCUGCUGCAUCUUUAUAUAUGCGUGUUUCCUAUAUAACAGUUUGGUUUCCUUCCUAAACCGAAACACGAAUAGUCCUGCAUUUAAUUGUUAAUUUUGAAUUUUUUUUUCGUAUACAAUCAUUUGUCUAUGUUACACUAUUAUGUUUAUCUUGCCUUCAUCAAUUACUUUUAUUGACUUUCAGAACUUACUUUGAUUAUAAAUUCAACUUUGCAUCCUUCUUACAAAAUCAUUCUAUUCAUACUUGAACUUAAAACUGAUUUUCUUGUCAUUUCCUUGUACAGCAAGAAAGUUGCAGCUUGUGCUAAGCACUUUGUUGGUGAUGGUGGAACAACAGAAGGAAUCAAUGAGGAUAACACAGUUGCAACCAGACAUGAAUUGUUUAGCAUUCACAUGCAAGCUUACUAUAACUCGAUCACUAAGGUUGUCUUAACCAUCAUGGUCUCAUACUCAAGCUGGAAUGGAGAAAAGAUGCAUUCUAAUCGCGAUUUAGUCACCGGCUUUCUCAAGAACACGCUCCAUUUCAGGGUAAUACUUUACCUCAUAGGCCUUGGAUUUCAUAGUUUCGAAAGAUUAUAUCAAGAAUUUAUUUUUUAUGAAUUAUCUGUGUAAAAGACGUAACAAUAAAUUAUACUAUGACUGUGUAAAAUAGGUGACUAUAUAUUAUAGCAUAAAUAAUUGUAUAUUAACUUAAGCCUGAAAUUGUUUAUUUAUCGAUCAUCAUAUUAGUAUAUGCUUAAAAUUCUAUGUUUUUAUGCAGGGUUUUGUCAUAUCAGAUUGGAAGGGAAUUGACAGGAUAACUUCACCUCCUCAUGCUAACUACACAUUUUCAAUUGAAGCCGGAGUGAAUGCCGGUAUUGACAUGGUAAACUAUGAAUUUUACUAAUCUUUUGAAUAGCCUUAUAUAUUUUAGGGUUUACAAUACUUGCACACUCUGGGAACCAACCAAUUUCUCUAAAUCCUGGUGGUGUUGAUUAGUCUUAUUUGAUUUUAUUCAUAAAAAAUAUGAUCUUUAAUACUUACCCUUUUAAUGAUGCAGAUAAUGAUUCCCUUUAACUACACGGAAUUCAUCGAUGGCCUAACCUUACUAGUGAAAAAGAAUGUCAUACCUAUGAGUAGAAUUGAUGAUGCAGUGAAGAGAAUUUUGAGAGUGAAGUUUGUUAUGGGCCUAUUUGAAAAUCCAUUGGCUGAUUACAGCCUUGCCGAUCAAAUCGGUAGCCCGGUUAGUCGAUGAUCUUGGAUUUAAAUAUGAUUUUAGUCCUAAAAACUUAUACCAUAAAUCCAUAAUGAGAAACUAAAUUGGCAACAUAAUUUGACAGGAGCAUAGGGAAUUGGCUAGGGAAGCGGUGAGAAAAUCAUUGGUACUAUUAAAGAAUGGUGAAAAUGUUGAUAAGCCGAUACUUCCUCUUCCUAAAAAGUCUUCAAAAAUACUUGUUGCUGGAAGUCAUGCUGAUAAUCUAGGAUAUCAAUGUGGUGGAUGGACCAUUCAAUGGCAAGGACAAAGUGGCAACAACAUCACCACUGGUAUACAAUAAAAUUCCUUCUCAACUUCUUUUCCUACUAUUGUUUGACACUUUCUUGUACCGAAAAUUCAAGGAAAAUUUUCAUUAAUCUCCUUAAAGUAUGAUUAAAUCAGUUUUUUAAAAUCCGAACUGAAAGUUUAACUAGAUUAAACUUGAACCACCCUUAACUACGGUUUGGACCUUUGACAGUUCGGUUUUGGUUUUAUCCUAAUUCACGUGGCUUAAGGAAGUUGAACCAUAAUUCAGAGGUCUUUCUGAUUCGAUGUUUGGUUAGCUUUUAAAAUCAUUGGUUUAAAUACCAAGUGUUCAAUUAAAAAAAUGGAAGGGAUGUGUGUGCCAUUUAAGCGUGCAUUAAGGAAGUGAAUGUAGUUUCCCUCGGUGUAGUCAAAUGGAAGCAAUAGCGGCGCUAUAGCAUUUUGGAAUUUAGAAAAAUUGAUAUUGUUCUGACGUGUGCUAGUUAGUACAAGACGAUGUCAAAUAAUCAUUAUUGCGGUGCUAUAACAUUGCUUAACUGAUAUACAGGUACCCCAAUUCUGAGUGCUAUAAAACACGCAGUCGACAAAGAAACCAAGGUAGUCUACGAGGAGAAUCCUUCAUUAGAUUAUGUAAAAUUCAAUGAUUUUUCAUAUGCAAUUGUGGUAGUUGGAGAGACACCAUAUGCUGAAACAAAUGGUGACAGCUUAAACUUAACAAUCUCUGGACAUGGAUAUGAAACGAUAGACAAUGUAUGCAGCGGAGUGAAAUGUGUCGUUGUGUUAAUCACCGGUAGACCUAUUGUUAUACAACCAUAUCUUGAGAAAAUUGAAGGACUUGUGGUUGCUUGGCUUCCUGGUAGUGAAGGUUCUGGUGUUGCCGAUGUUUUGUUUGGUGAUUAUGGAUUUACCGGUAAACUUCCAAGGACAUGGUUUAAGACUGUUGAUCAGUUGCCAAUGAAUGUUGGUGAUUCUCAUUAUGAUCCUUUGUUUCCAUUUGGAUUUGGCCUUACAACUGAAGCAUAUAAGGCUACUUCAGAAUAUUUGAGUUUGUUAAAUAUUUCAUUUGCCAUUUUUGGUGUGUUCUUAGGCUAUUUAUUACUAUUGCAUUUUUUUUACUUUAGGUGUUGGCACCACAUUGGUAUUGUGAUAUGUAUUUUUUCUAUGUUUGGAUUAUUUUUCAGCUUCAAUUAUUACACUUAUUGAGUUCCAAUCUAAUUUAUGUUUUUUGUUUAGAGAAAUGUAAGUGGUUAAAUUGUUAGGGAGAAAAGGAAUUUAUUAGCAAGCAGAGAUCGAACUCUAACCUCCUUAUUAACCUUCUUGAACUUACAUUUUAUGAAUUUCGGAAAUAGACUUUGAAGUCUAUAUUUGUUUUUAAAAAUAUAAUGCCAAAAGAUAUUACAGUUUUUGUUCUAAGAAAUAAAUCUUUGGAGGCAAGUAUGAGUUAUGAUGCUUAGAUUGUGUUCUUCCCGGAUUUGGUGAUACCUAGAAGACGAUGAACCGUUGGAGGAGAGAUUGUGAUCUUGAUGGUGUUUGACUGGAGCUCUCCGAGGAACGAAGGGGUGUUGUGUACCUGCACAUGCUUAGACGUUCAAGGCAGUAUGUGAAUGAGAGAAGUGAUGCUAGGUUUAGAAAAGAGAUACCUUGUGAGGUCUUGGUGUUCGCCUUAUAUAGGCCAAGGAGAUAGUAGUUAAGCCUUAUUGGGUCUUUUACCUUGUGUAGUUGGUCCAUGUCCCUCAAGAGACACAUGUAAGUUGAUCAGAGGAAGUCAUCAUUGGAUCCAUCAUGAACGGUCUAGAUCCUUAUGAUGGGUCAUUAUUCUAGUGCGGAGGAUUGGUGUCACGGACCCGUUUUGUUGUUCACCUUCAGUCCUGUGCACGUUCGUGCCACGGCCCCAUGGACCCAUAGCGUUAGAAGCCUUGUGGAACAUGUGUGGUUGGGCGCCAACCCAUACCGGAACAUAUUCGUUCAUCCUCUUCCAUAUAAGUUUAUGUUCCCAUGUAUGCACUUCUGAUGAAGGGUUUGGGACAUGUUUAUAUUAGAUUUGAGAUUUGAUCCUUUAACACCUUCAUUUAAACCUCAAAGUCGUGAUUUAUGGAUCCAAUAUGAGCUAUGGUUUCCAAAUCUGAUUUUAGUGAGCAACACUAAGGAAAACCCCAAAAUUUAUCAAUCAUUAGGGCCUUGUAAGACUUCAAUUAGUUGAGUGGUUCACAUAUUUCCAAAUAUUGCUAUAGAGAAUGAAAUCAAAAUGGAUGAAACCGGAAAUUGAGCACCAAGGUACCAUUUAUCAGCAAAUCAAAGGGUAAGUUUAUUCCCAUAAACUUACUUAGGUUGAUUUGAAGCUGUUGGUUUAGAAAAUUGGAGUGUCCUCCUCUCAAGGUCUCAAGUUUGAUUAUCUCUGGUGUCAAUUUCAGUAUGCUAAUUUGACUUCUUAAAAAAAAUGUAGCUCUCAUAGCUCAACUGGAUUAUCCUUACAAUCCACUUCAACGGGCUAAUUGUAAACUUGGCUAAAACUUGUAUGCUACACAAUGUCCCCUCAUAGAUGGUUGUCAACAUUCGUGGAAAAAUACACCUGAGUUUUUUUGUCUAUUAAUUUUUUGCUUCGAAGUUUGGCAGAAGAGAUCAAGGCAAUGCGAGACACAUCAAGCUUGCUCAAUGGAGGCCUUUGCAGAAGGAAGAAAAUCAUCAACAAAACGCAAGUGACAAAUUGAAGGGGACAAUAACUGCCAGCGCGUAUAGGUUUCCAAUAAAUUGCCUCUACCUGAUCACCUAUAAUGUGAGAGAGCAUCUUCAUGCAAAUGAGAAACAAGUACGGGGAAAGAAAAUCUCCGUGCCUAAUUCCUUUAGAAGGAUAAAAAAAGACUUUGUUUUAUCACCAUUCCACAUGAUUUUGUACGUUGGAGAAGAGAUGCAAUGAUGAAUGAUCUAAAUUAGGUUGAAACUUACAUUCAUCUAGACAAUUCUCAACGAAGUUCCAGCUAAGUCAAUCAUAAUUUUUUUUCCAAGCCAAUUUUGAUAGACAUGAAAACUUUAUUACCUUUCAUUUUAGACAUGAAAUGAACCAUCUAGGCUCUUUUGCUGCGUUAACCAUAUGUUUCGUACGGAAAAUGGACAAUUGUAAUCCAGAGUUUAACCGGGAGGUAAGUAAAGUCUUGUCAAGAAUUGUUCCAACCAGGAAUCAAAAUCAAGUUAUCAUGCACAUGUUCGUCCUUCAAUUAACUCAUUAACCACUUGAGUUCAAUUACUUGAUUUACCAUCUAAGCUCGUUUAUUACGUGUUAAAAUACAACUGACUGUGAUAUUUAAUAAUAGGAUAAAGUUAAACAGUGCCCUAAGACAUUGGUUAAGCAACCAAAAGAAGUAAGUUUUUAUUAAAAAGUGGUGUAAUUAUUACUUGAUCAAAAGUAACCGUUUAUAUUUUUAAGACAAAAUUUCUUUUUUAGAUUCCUUAAUCAGUGUUCAAAGGACACUGGUUAGCAAGACCCUUAAUAAUUUAGUGCUCAUUUGUUACGGAUUAUAACGGGGGUGUAUUGGAUUGAGAUUUUAAAAGACUAUUUUGGCAAACAAAGUCCAGAAUAUUUUAAAAGAUUAUAUUGAUUUUGUUGGAUUUUAAAAGACUAUUUGUAAUGACUUUUUAUAAUCAGGAUUUUGAACACAUGAUUUUAAUGGAUUUAUAAUACAGAUUUCAACAGACUUUAUGAGAUUUUAAGAUUUGAAAAGAUUGUAUGAAUUUUUAAGAAAAAUUCAAAUUGGGUUGUAUGUACUUGGGUUGUGUGGAAUGAACGGAACAACCGUCUGUUCAAUAAUAUUGUUGCUGUUGUUUCCCGUCUAUUAGAUAAGGUCAAAUUGUUAUCUCUAGGGUGGCUGAAGGCAAAAAAUGCCAAGUUUGUAUCUGGUACCCAAAGGUGGUGGUCAAGCCCCUUAGUUUGUUUGGGCAUUGGCUAAUUUUUUUUGUUCCGCUUUUGUGUAAUGACUCUGUAGUGGUUGCUUAGGCACACCUUGUGCUUGGGGACCGCUCUUUCGAUUGGUUAUAUAAUUUCAUUUUAGUUUCUUAAAAAAAAAAAAAAAUCAAAUUGACCGGUGGAUGAAAAAGAUUAUAAACUUAUAAUAUAAAAUUAUUUAUCGAUUAAUAAUAAUUAUAAUAGUAUACUCAAAAUAAUAACAAUAAUAAUAAUGCCUUAAAAGAAUAAUGGUCACUUAUGGGGAAGAAAAAAAAAAACAACGAAAUAAUCGCAAGUAUAUAUAUAUAUAUAUAACAACAAACUCUUUUUUUUUUAACAUCUAGAAACAACUUCCGUCGAAAGAAAAAAAACUAAAAUGUAGUGUUUUUUUUUAGAGACUAAAAUGUAGUGUUAACGAGGAAUAAUGUCAGUUUUUUGUAAAAAAAUAAAAAUAAAAAUAAGGAAUAAUAUCAAAGAGGGACUUAUGAAUAAUAACAAGAAGAGGGUAUGAGUGUGUAUGUCUGUGUGGUAUGAGACAAGAAAUGUUAUGAAUGAAAGUCUCAACGUUUUCUAUCAGAUUGUUGAUUGAGCAUAUUAUGUAUAUUUUUAACUAAAAAGAUUUUUUCCUUUUUUUCCUCCGUUACAUUGUAACACUACCAAAAAAAACUUAAAAAGUCUCACAAAAUUCAUUCCACAAAAGAAUCUAUUAAAAUCUAAAUACUUUUGACUACCAAAAGACAUUUUAUAAGUUAGGAAAAAUCUUAUCUGAAUACCACCAGAUUUCGUUGCCUGAAAAACAAUAUUGAUUAUCUUGAUUGAAUACCACAAGAUUUAUUUAUAUUCUAUAAAAAUCUUGAUUGUAUAAGACUUUUUUAUUUUUAAAAAGUCUUUUAAAAUUCCAUGAAAUCUCAAUUUAAUACACACUCCUAAGAGAACUUACUCAAAAUUAUUUUAAACUUUUUUUUAAUUCUUAUUUUAUUGAAUGUUGAAAAACUUUAUUGUAAUUGAUAACAAAUAUGUCCUAGUAUGCUUUUUGGUGGUGAGAAAGAUGACUACCUAAAUUCUCUAACAAAGUUCUUCAACCAUGAUAGAAAAUUAAAAAUUUUUUUUUUUUGAAGGAAGAAAAAUAAAAAUAAUAAAUGUUUUUUUAUAAGAAAAAAAAAUAAUAAAUGUUUAGUGAAUGUAAAAGGAAGUUUUUAUAAUAUUUCAUCUAUAUAUUAUUAUUGAUUUGAUUUUUUUGUUAUCCACAAUAAUUAAGAUUUUUUACCAUAAAUAGGCGUCACAAGGUAUCUCUCGAGAUUAUUUCUUAUCCUCAUGUUUCUUUAGAGGUCUUCCAACAUUCCUAUAAGAAAAAUGUUUAAAAUUAUCCAUAAUUGACUGGAUAAGUAAAAUUUGAAAAUUUAAAACAAAUCCUAAAUUUUAAAAGUAACGUUUAUUAUUUAAUUAAGAUAAGGAUUGAUCCUAAACCCAUCGUUUUUAUGUCUUUAUAUAGCAUAUCAUACUCUAUAUAGCAUAGCACAUUCUUCCACUUUCAUAACUUACAAUUUUUACUAUUAUUGGGAAAGAACAUUUUAGUGUCUGUCACUCUCUUUCUGCAACAUUGUAGAGCCACACAAAAAAAAUUGUUUUGUACAAAUUAGUACAUUGGUAUGCACCAUUUUUUUUUACAUUUUUCAAUUUUCAAUUUGAUAUUGAUUUGUGUUAUUGAAAUGAAUCAUCAACGGUAGGCUUAUGGUAUUAUAGGUCGUUAUAUUAAUAAACUUUUAAUCAAACGGCUUGUAUCCAUCCGGUUUAAAAGUAAAAUCGGAUAUACCAUAAAGCCGACCGUUGAAGAUCUAAGUUUUUGUUUAUUGGCUACAAACGUAUUUCAUGAAUAAAAUUGAAAUUGGUCAUGCAUCUAUUGAUGAAUGGUUUUGUAUAUACUAUGGUUUUUUUUUUUAAUUUCCAAACAUUGGUUUAGUUUUUUCCCUUCAUUCAUGCAUAAUAAGGUUGUUUUUUUUUUGUUUGUUGGCCAUGUGUAUUCUUAAUUAGAUCAAAUAAAAUUUUCUGAUGUGAUUGAAUUGCAUAAUUUGAGACAUUAAUUGAAUUUUGUUAUGAUCUCAUUGUGAAGGUGUUUUGAGAGGAAGAAAUGGCAAAAUGUUCAAUAUUUUUGGUGGGGCUAUUGCUCUUCCAUUGUUGGAUAACAAUGGCAGAAGCUGAGAAUUUCAAAUACAAAGAUCCAAAACAGCUAUUGAAUACUAGAAUCAAGGAUCUUAUGGACAGAAUGACAUUGGAAGAGAAAAUUGGUCAGAUGGUUCAGAUUGAUUGCACUGUUGCUUCUGCUGAUGUGAUGAAAAAAUAUUUUAUCGGUAUGAUUUUCUACUUAAAUUUUAUCUUUUAAUUUCGACAAGAUUUUUAAAAAUGGUUGGCUAGCGCGAAUUCAAGCUGCGACAUCAAAGGAUUUUCAUGUCUCCGCGCUUGCAACGUAAUGUCAAUAGAUGUGGCAUUCACUCGAUUUAACAUUAAUUCUCGCAAUAUCAAGGAUUGUGACGUGAUUGAUGCCGAUAUUUUUUAAGUAAUUUUUUUAUAGUAAACAAACAUAAAAUAACUUAUGUUUUAUUUUUUAAAAUCUCAAAAAAUAAUCUUAUAAUAUGCCAAAUAGUGUGAUUUAGGAAUAUAUUUAUUUAUUAUAUUUUUGUUUAUUUUUAUAGGUAGUAUUCUAAGUGGUGGUGGACAUACUCCCAAGCAAAAUGCUACUGCAAAUGAAUGGGUUGAUUUUGUCAAUGAAUUUCAAAAGGGUGCUUUAUCAACUAGGCUUGGAAUUCCAAUGAUUUAUGGAAUUGAUGCUGUUCAUGGACAUAACAAUGUUUAUAAAGCUACUAUUUUCCCUCACAAUGUUGGUCUAGGAGCUACAAGGUAUGCUUAUAUUUUUUGUGUGAAAAUUUUCAUAUCUGUUUAUUUUUUACAUUCAUAGAAUUUUUGUGGAUAUUUUGAUGAUGUUAUUUUAUCUAUGAACCUGCAGGGACCCUCAACUAGUGAGGAGAAUUGGUGAAGCAACUGCUCUUGAAGCUAGAGCAACGGGAAUUCCAUAUGUCUUCGCGCCUUGCAUCGCGGUAAUUAAGAUAAUCAAGAUUUUACUACGUUGCAAUGCUAUAACGCUUCUAUUUGACAAUAACCUGUAGAACAAUAGCGAUUUGUUCAAAUUCUGCUACGCUAUAGCGAUGUUGCGCCAAUAUAGCCACUAUUUGACAAUAUUGUUCUACCAUAUGACAUAUGUUUUUGUAUAUAUAGGUUUGUAGAGAUCCAAGAUGGGGUAGAUGUUACGAAAGUUACAGUGAAGAUCAUAAAAUAGUCCAAUCUAUGACUGAGUUAAUUCCGGGACUGCAAGGCGACCUACCUGCAAAUUGGUCAAAGGGUGUUCCAUAUGUCGGUGGAAGGUAAGAAUUC
rnacentral:lncRNA from 1 species